UACGAAGGGGGCUAGCGUUGCUCGGAAUCACUGGGCGUAAAGCGCACGUAGGCGGAUCUUUAAGUCAGGGGUGAAAUCCCGGAGCUCAACUCCGGAACUGCCUUUGAUACUGGGGAUCUUGAGUUCGAGAGAGGUGAGUGGAACUGCGAGUGUAGAGGUGAAAUUCGUAGAUAUUCGCAAGAACACCAGUGGCGAAGGCGGCUCACUGGCUCGAUACUGACGCUGAGGUGCGAAAGCGUGGGGAGCGAACAGG
rnacentral:rRNA from 1 species